ACCCGGGUGGUGAAAUGGUAGACACGCAAGACUUAAAAUCUUGUGACUGCAAGGUCGUGCGGGUUCAAGUCCCGCUCCGGGUA
rnacentral:tRNA from 2 species